GGGAGAAUAUACCGUAGGGGUAGCGGGUCAGUCUGUAAAACUGAUGGCUUCGGUCACGGAUAGUUCGACUCUAUCUUCUCCCA
rnacentral:tRNA from 1 species